CCUACGGGCGGCUGCAGUAGGGAAUCUUCCACAAUGGACGAAAGUCUGAUGGAGCAACGCCGAGUGAGUGAUGAAGGUUUUUGGAUCGUAAAACUCUGUUGUAAGGGAAGAACAAGUACGAGAGGUACUGCUCGUACCUUGACGGUACCUUGCGAGAAAGCCACGGCUAACUACGUGCCAGCAGCCGCGGUAAUACGUAGGUGGCAAGCGUUGUCCGGAAUUAUUGGGCGUAAAGCGCGCGCAGGCGGCCUGUUAAGUCUGAUGAGAAAGCACCCGGCUCAACCGGGGAGGGUCAGUGGAAACUGGAAGGCUUGAGUACAGAAGAGAGGAGUGGAAUUCGAUGUGUAGCGGUGAAAUGCGUAGAGAUGUGGAGGAACACCAGUGGCGAAGGAGACUCUUUGGUCUGUAACUGACGCUGAGGCGCGAAAGCGUGGGGAGCAAACAGGAUUAGAUACCCAGGUAGUC
rnacentral:rRNA from 1 species